AUUGAACGCUGGCGGCAGGCCUAACACAUGCAAGUCGAGCGGAUGAAGGGAGCUUUCUCCUGGAUUCAGCGGCGGACGGGUGAGUAAUGCCUAGGAAUCUGCCUUGUAUUGGGGGAUAACGUCCGGAAACGGGCGCUGAUACCGCAUACGUCCUGAGGUAGAAAGUGGGGGAUCUUCGGACCUCACGCUAUCAGAUGAGCCUAGGUCGGAUUAGCUAGUUGGUGGGGUAAAGGCCUACCAAGGCGACGAUCCGUAACUGGUCUGAGAGGAUGAUCAGUCACACUGGAACUGAGACACGGUCCAGACUCCUACGGGAGGCAGCAGUGGGGAAUAUUGGACAAUGGGCGAAAGCCUGAUCCAGCCAUGCCGCGUGUGUGAAGAAGGUCUUCGGAUUGUAAAACACUGUAAGUUGGGAGGAAGGGCAGUAAGUUAAUACCUUGCUGUUUUGACGUUACCAACAGAAUAAGCACCGGCUAACUUCGUG
rnacentral:rRNA from 1 species